rnacentral:rRNA from 1 species
CAUUACUGAAUGGCCGUCUGGCCUUCAACCUUGUAAACCUGUGGAAGCAAGAUGUGCUUCGGCGCUUCGGCGUCGCUUUUAUGCUUAAAUCAGUCUUUGUGUCUGAAUCAAAUACAAGAAAUAAAACUUUCAACAAAGGAUCUCUUGGCUCUCGCAUCGAUGAAGAACGCAGCGAAGCGCGAAAUGUAGUGUGAAUCGCAGAACAUUGUGAAUCAUCGAAUCUUUGAACGCACAUUGCGCCUCUAGUAACUUGGAGGCAUGCCUGUCUGAGCGUCAUUUAAAACCAUAAACUCAACUGGGUUUGUAUUGGGCAUCGCCUCUGGGCGUAGCUUGAAAGUCAUUGGUCUUAUACGCGGACGAGUUCCAUUAGGACAGGCCGUGUCUGGACUUUAAAUCUCUGACUUGACCUCAGAUCAGGUAGGACUACCGCCUGAACUUAA